AACGAACGCUGGCGGCAGGCUUAACACAUGCAAGUCGAACGCCCCGCAAGGGGAGUGGCGCACGGGUGAGUAACGCGUGGAUAUCUGCCUUUUGGUUCGGAAUAACCCCGGGAAACUGGGGCUAAUACCGGAUGGUUCCUACGGGAUAAAGAUUUAUCGCCAAAAGAUGAGUCCGCGUACGAUUAGCUAGUUGGUGAGGUAACGGCUCACCAAGGCGACGAUCGUUAGCUGGUCUGAGAGGACGAUCAGCCACACUGGGACUGAGACACGGCCCAGACUCCUACGGGAGGCAGCAGUGGGGAAUAUUGGACAAUGGGGGCAACCCUGAUCCAGCCAUGCCGCGUGAGUGAUGAAGGCCUUCGGGUUGUAAAGCUCUUUUGGCGGGGACGAUGAUGACGGUACCCGCAGAAUAAGCCCCGGCUAACUUCGUGCCAGCCGCCGCGGUAA
rnacentral:rRNA from 1 species